AUACGGAGGAUCCGAGCGUUAUCCGGAUUUAUUGGGUUUAAAGGGAGCGUAGGCGGACGCUUAAGUCAGUUGUGAAAGUUUGCGGCUCAACCGUAAAAUUGCAGUUGAUACUGGGUGUCUUGAGUACAGUAGAGGCAGGCGGAAUUCGUGGUGUAGCGGUGAAAUGCUUAGAUAUCACGAAGAACUCCGAUUGCGGAGGCAGCCUGCUGGACUGUAACUGACGCUGAUGCUCGAAAGUGUGGGUAUCAAACAGGAUUAGAUACCCUGGUAGUCCACACAGUAAACGAUGAAUACUCGCUGUUUGCGAUAUACAGUAAGCGGCCAAGCGAAAGCGUUAAGUAUUCCACCUGGGGAGUACGCCGGCAACGGUGAAACUCAAAGGAAUUGACGGGG
rnacentral:rRNA from 1 species